CCGUACGCGAUCCAGCCCAGCCCAUACCGCCUGCUGGAGAGACCGUCUGUGCGUGCAUACUCCCGAAAAACAGCCCCGGGGUGGACUGCUGCGGAGUUAUCGUCGUUAUCGUCGAACUGCCGCAAGAAGAGACUAUUCCUCUCUCUCCCACUCACAGACGACGCCAGCAGAGUGAGCUAGAGCCGACUAGAGCGAGAGAGAAGACAAACAACAACAACAACAACAACAACAACAACACCGCACUCGCCUCGUCCUCGCCGCCGCACCGCGCCGCACUCGGUCCAAAUCAGUCAACUGUUGAGCUGCUAGCUGCUGCUCCACUAGCUUGUCGUCGAGUUCGUUGCCAUUUCAAGAAGUUCGUCACUGCACUGUUGAAUCGGCUGGUUCAUCGCCGUCACAGUCACCGAGCUGUCCAGCUGCUGCCCAGUCUAGAACGAGCCGCGGCCGCCGCAGCUGUCAGUCCGGUUGGUCCACCGUCACCGCAGCGGAUUGUUGAUCCCGCGAGUACCAUGUCUCAGAGCCAGCCAUCUCGCCUCCAGGCGCCGCGGGUCGUGGUGAAGCAGACCCCGAGGGCCCCGACCGCCACCGCCGCGACCAGGUCAACCACCGCAGCAGCCUCUGCGCCUCGCUCUGCGACUAGGGCCGCCCCCGCCUCGGCCCCCGCCAAGAGGAUCAUGCCGCCGCCGACGUCCGCGAGGGUCCCGGACAACAAGAGGAGCGCCCCCGCGCCGCCGUCGACGGC